GCUAGUUUCUCCUCAUUGCACAACAGUAUGACUGCUACAGAGACAGCAAACAGAGGAAGGGGAGAAUGGGUUACAAUCAGGUACUUGGCUAGGAUCAAGACUGGAUACUUUCGGCUUGGAUGAAAAACAGAAGAAGCUGUGACUACUCAGAGCCAGGGGGACAGCCAGACCAAAAAUUGUUGGGGAAAAAAGGAAGCUCAAAGGCCAAAAGAUAGAAGCCAAGUGUCAAAUCCAAGAACAAAAGGCAAGAAUCAAUGCAAGGAUCAAAAAGCCCCGUGACCUUGAUGUCAAAAUUCGAGCUGAUCAGAGCCAACCCAGCAGGAAAUGGGUUUCUAGAAGAACUGUCUCAGAUAUGUCUGGGCCUUCAUGAUCCCCUGUAAGGACCAGCAGGUAUAUGAUACCUGGGAAGAUGACAAUGGCUUCCAAGACUGAGGUUGGGCAGACCACCAAAGAUCCCAAAAUAAAAGCAAAGGUUUAAAUUUAAAUAACUAGCAUGGCAAGAAGCAAAGUACUCAUUGCAUUAUGAAAAUCUGAAAGUAGAAUUUCUCUUGGUGCAGCAAAGGAUCUCUAGUAAGAAAUAACAUGAGAAAACAUAGGUGUUAUGAUCGUUAUAAAGGUUGAUGAUUCUUAAGUACAUUCGAGGAUGCUAAAGUUCUAACAAUGUUCAGGUGCAGGGAUCAAGUGUCUUUUACAUAAUCCUUCCACCAGAAGACAUCAAGUUUAACUGAAAUUCAAAUCUGAACAAUAGGACAACCAUCUGGAAAAUAACGCUGCAAAACUACUACACAGCAAGUAAGUCAAUCUGCAAAGCUGCAAUGAAGUAAAACCGACUGAAGAGUAUGUUAUGUACUGUAGGCUAUACCAAUCUGUGCAUGUGAAUAACUGUCAAUAUCCCAACCUAAAAUAAUUUUAAUGAUGGGAAUAAACAUUAAAUAUUUACCAGCUGGUGCACCACUAGAUCAAUGGGCUCAUCUCCCUCCCCUGAGUACACACAAUAAUAAAUGAAUAGACUUGGGCUUCCAACAGCAAGAAAAAGAUUGCCUCAAAAUUGGAAAUCAAUGAUACCACUAUGGUUACAUCAAUAGGUGAAGCGAUAAAUGGAGGCUGCUGUCAUUUAAAAAAAUAUAUUGUAAUAACAGAGAAAAAAAAGCUAAAGGGAAGUUUUUCUUAUGUUUGCUUUAUUUACUUUCUAAUUUUCAAAAUGAAUUUUGACAGAAGUCCUUGGCCAUUUGUACUUUUUAAAAGAACAUGUUGUUCCAAACUAACAAUGUCUCCUAAUAUGAAAUCCAGUUUCUGUCAAUCUGUCCAUAAAAAUAUUUUAGGUUUAGAUUUUUCAGUUUAUGUCUGGUGCUAAGAAAAUGUAUGACAAUUAAACCGAUUGAGAGGGAACAGGAGAUGGGGUUACAGGACAUAGUGUCAUAGGAACAAGUAAAAUAAAAACACGUUUUAAAAUGUUAAAAUUUAAUCUCUAUUUUAUUCUAUUAAAUUUUGUGCCUUAUAAGAUAUGCUGAACCAAGUGUUCCCAAGUUAUGACUUACCAUGGAAAAUUCUGAUGUGAAUGUUUUCUCUUAGAAAUAAAGCUAUUGAGCUGUAAGAGUUGAUAUAACUAUUGUCUUUUAAGUUUAUUUGAGCAAAUGGUUGAUAGUAAGAGCUCCACUAAAAUACCGAGUUGGUUCAUUUACACAUCCCUUCAACCUACUCAGUGAGGGACUGUCAGCCUUCCAGCAGCAUGAUGAUAACACCUCCAUGGCUGUUAUCCUCUUCAUCCUAGUCAAGUGGCACUGUGACAAAACCUAAGAAAUACCUGAUAGGAUAUGCUGGCACUUCAGCCAGAAAUUUUUCCCCUGACUACUGCAUUCUUACUAUCUGAAUCAAAAAAUUGGAACAAGUCAACUCUAAGGAUGAGACAACAAUAACAGAUGGCAUCAAGGGGACACUUGGGUUGAAUCAGAAAAUAUGUCUCCCUUUUGAGAAAAGAAUUGGCACUAAUCAAAGGGAAAUAUAAAUUACAAUUUGGUACAAGCAAGGAGUCCUAGGAAGUAGAAGCCAUUUCAGAGCCCUAAAAAUACUUUAUUUCUUCAGUUGCUAUUUUGAAAAUUGCUUUUCCCUGUAUAAUAUUCAGUAGGAUUCAGAUAAUUUGAAAGGAGCAAAAAGCCUUGUUAGCUCUUUUCUAUAUCAUAAAAUCCAUUCUUUGUCAUUUUACAUAUUCAUCGCUGUAUUUUCUUGGGUGUAAUAUUUUUUUAAAUGGUGUCUGAAAAGUGAAAUUAUUUUUCACAAAAAGAAUGUAUCUGUUAUGAUUUUCCUGGUAAUGAUUUUUGCACAUUAUCUAUCAU
ensembl:lncRNA novel transcript